UGGGGAAUUUUGGACAAUGGGCGAAAGCCUGAUCCAGCAAUGCCGCGUGCAGGAUGAAGGCCUUCGGGUUGUAAACUGCUUUUGUACGGAACGAAAAGGCACUCUCUAAUACAGGGUGUUGAUGACGGUACCGUAAGAAUAAGCACCGGCUAACUACGUGCCAGCAGCCGCGGUAAUACGUAGGGUGCGAGCGUUAAUCGGAAUUACUGGGCGUAAAGCGUGCGCAGGCGGUUAUGUAAGACAGUUGUGAAAUCCCCGGGCUCAACCUGGGAACUGCAUCUGUGACUGCAUAGCUAGAGUACGGUAGAGGGGGAUGGAAUUCCGCGUGUAGCAGUGAAAUGCGUAGAUAUGCGGAGGAACACCGAUGGCGAAGGCAGUCCCCUGGACCUGUACUGACGCUCAUGCACGAAAGCGUGGGGAGCAAACAGG
rnacentral:rRNA from 1 species